GAAAUGCGAUAAGUAAUGUGAAUUGCAGAAUUCAGUGAAUCAUCGAAUCUUUGAACGCACCUUGCGAUCCUUGGUAUUCCUUGGAGCAUGCCUGUUUGAGUAUCAUGAAAUCUUCAAAGUAAAUCUUUUGUUAACUCAAUUGGUUUCUACUUUGGUAUUGGAGGUCUUUGCAGCUUCACACCUGCUCCUCUUUGUUCAUUAGCUGGAUCUCAGUGUUAUGCUUGGUUCCACUCGGCGUGAUAAGUUAUCUAUCGCUGAGGACACUGUAAAAGGUGGCCAAGGUAAAUGCAGAUGAACCGCUUCUAAUAGUCCAUUGACUUGGACAAUACUUUUAUGAUCUGAUCUCAAAUCAGGUUGGACUACCCGCUGAACUUAAGC
rnacentral:misc_RNA from 1 species